GCGGCUGUGGCGAAAUUGGUAGACGCACCAGAUUUAGGUUCUGGCGCCGAGAGGUGUGAGAGUUCGAGUCUCUCCGUCCGCA
rnacentral:tRNA from 1 species